GGAUUCUAGGGCGCUGUUUUCAAAUUUCAUUUUCUUCCGGUUUUGUCCAGCACCACGAGAACAUGAGGACGCGGCGAAAAGUUGGACAAUGAUCACAAGACUCCUACCGUGAAUCUGGCGCAGUUUAUCAGGGGUUCCCUACACUGGUCCUCGAAGACAGCUGGUCAACAUGUUUUCCAGCAUCUCUGCCCAUCAUCCACCUGCUGUGUGUUCAGUCAGAGCUAAAAAUGACCAUUUCAGGGUGAAUAACAGUCAGUCAUCUGUCAGACAGAAUUCAAUACUCUUUCUCCAGGCCAACUAAUUGUCUCCAGUGCAAAUGAUCCUUUGUCAUCCCACUCCCUGAGGACACUCCAGAGUAGUAAUUGUCAUUGUGGACUCCAGCAGGUCUACAUGUUCUGUUAAGAGACUGGAUUCUGAGAGCGAGAUCCUGUGAAGUGUUCAUCAAAGCUGAAGUGAAGAACUGCAUCUGUGUUCAGCAACUGUCCGGAGUUGGUGGAUGUUCUGUCCGAGCAUGAUUAAAAGAUUGAUAAACGGAUGCUGUGAAGUGAGUCCAGAUGCUACAGACACCGAAAAAGAUGCCGCAAUGGAGGAACACAGCAAGCACCUUCCAGGAAGAGCUGAAGAAUAUUAGAAAUAAAGACUCUAAAAUAACA